rnacentral:rRNA from 1 species
GGACGAACGCUGGCGGCGUGCUUACCCCAUGCAAGUCGAACGAUGAAGAAGAGAAACGCGCACUUCGGUUCAAAUUUCACUUCGGAUUAGUGGCAGACGGGUGAGUAACGCGUGAGCAACCUACCUCUUACAAAGGGAUAGCCUCGGGAAACCGUGAUUAAUACCAUAUGACACAUUCAUAAGGCAUCUUAAGAAUGUUAAAGCUACGGCGGUAAGAGAUGGGCUCGCGUCCCAUUAGCUAGUUGGUGAGGUAACGGCCCACCAAGGCGACGAUGGGUAACCGGACUGAGAGGGUGAACGGUCACAUUGGAACUGAGACACGGUCCAAACUCCUACGGGAGGCAGCAGUGGGGAAUAUUGCACAAUGGAGGGAACUCUGAUGCAGCGACGCCGCGUGAGCGAUGAAGGAAUUCGUGUCGUAAAGCUCUGUUCUAUGGGAAGAAAAGGACUGUACCAUAGGAGAAAGCCCCGGCUAAAUACGUG